UUGAUUGGCAUCGAUUAAUAAUUAAAGAUUUAUCGCUAUAAGAUGGCUAUGCGUUCUAUUAGCUAGUUGGUAUGGUAACGGCAUACCAAGGCUACGAUAGAUAGGGGUCCUGAGAGGGAGAUCCCCCACACUGGUACUGAGACACGGACCAGACUCCUACGGGAGGCAGCAGUGAGGAAUAUUGGACAAUGGUGGGAACACUGAUCCAGCCAUGCCGCGUGCAGGAAGACUGCCCUAUGGGUUGUAAACUGCUUUUAUACAGGAAGAAUAAGCUCUACGUGUAGAGUGAUGACGGUACUGUAGGAAUAAGGAUCGGCUAACUCCGUGCCAGCAGCCGCGGUAAUACGGAGGAUCCAAGCGUUAUCCGGAAUCAUUGGGUUUAAAGGGUCCGUAGGCGGGUCUAUAAGUCAGUGGUGAAAGUUUGCGGCUCAACCGUAAAAUUGCCAUUGAUACUGUAGGUCUUGAAUGAUUGUGAAGUGGUUAGAAUAUGUAGUGUAGCGGUGAAAUGCAUAGAUAUUACAUAGAAUACCGAUUGCGAAGGCAGAUCACUAACAAUGUAUUGACGCUAAGGGACGAAAGCGUGGGGAGCGAACAGGAUUAGAUACCCUGGUAGUCCACGCCGUAAACGAUGGUUACUAGCUGUUCGGUCGCAAGACUGAGUGGCUAAGCGAAAGUGAUAAGUAACCCACCUGGGGAGUACGUUCGCAAGAAUGAAACUCAAAGGAAUUGACGGGGGCCCGCACAAGCGGUGGAGCAUGUGGUUUAAUUCGAUGAUACGCGAGGAACCUUACCAGGGCUUAAAUGUAGUCUGACAGGACCAGAGAUGGUUUUUUCUUCGGACAGAUUACAAGGUGCUGCAUGGUUGUCGUCAGCUCGUGCCGUGAGGUGUCAGGUUAAGUCCUAUAACGAGCGCAACCCCUGUGGUUAGUUGCCAGCGAGUAAUGUCGGGAACUCUAGCCAGACUGCCGGUGCAAACCGUGAGGAAGGUGGGGAUGACGUCAAAUCAUCACGGCCCUUACGUCCUGGGCCACACACGUGCUACAAUGGCCAGUACAGAGAGCAGCCACUGCGCGAGCAGGAGCGAAUCUAUAAAGCUGGUCACAGUUCGGAUCGGAGUCUGCAAC
rnacentral:rRNA from 1 species